AAACGUUGGAACUAGUUGUGGGUCCAUUCCACGGAUUCCGUGACGCAGCUAACGCAUUAAGUUCCCCGCCUGGGGAGUACGGCCGCAAGGUAAAACUCAAAGGAAUUGACGGGGACCCGCACAAGCGGCGGAGCAUGCGGAUUAAUUCGAUGCAACGCGAAGAACCUUACCAAGGCUUGACAUAUACGAGAACGGGCCAGAAAUGUCAACUCUUUGGACACUCGUAAACAGGUGGUGCAUGGUUGUCGUCAGCUCGUGUCGUGAGAUGUUGGGUUAAGUCCCGCAACGAGCGCAACCCUCGUUCUAUGUUGCCAGCACGUAAUGGUGGGAACUCAUGGGAUACUGCCGGGGUCAACUCGGAGGAAGGUGGGGAUGACGUCAAAUCAUCAUGCCCCUUAUGUCUUGGGCUUCACGCAUGCUACAAUGGCCGGUACAAUGGGCAGCGAUACCGUGAGGUGGAGCGAAUCCCAAAAAGCCGGUCCCAGUUCGGAUUGAGGUCUGCAACUCGACCUCAUGAAGUCGGAGUCGCUAGUAAUCGCAGAUCAGCAACGCUGCGGUGAAUACGUUCCCGGGUCUUGUACACACCGCCCGUCAAGUCAUGAAAGUCGGUAACACCUGAAGCCGGUGGCCUAACCCCUUGUGGGAGGGAGCUGUCGA
rnacentral:rRNA from 1 species